rnacentral:antisense_RNA from 1 species
GCGCAGCGGAGACCUCGGCAUCUGCGGUGCUCGGGAUUGUGUCCCCUACGGUCUCUUACCGUGCCUCCCGAUGGUGGGAGCUGGAAUUUGGUCCCCAGACCCCUUGGGAAGACGCGCACACCCUGGCAAACCAUGUGUACACCCGCGGUAGAAGCAGGGAAACGCUGACCAGUUUGUGUGAACGCCAUCACCCACACUCUUGAAAUAUAUCUGGAAAGUGCCGGAAGUGAACUGGGGGAUCCUUGCCUCCCAAAACAGGGAUGGGCUCUGAACGCCCCACCACGGCCUGCUGCCACGCGCGCCUCUCGCUGCAGGAGCGGUGGAUCCACCGAUGGGCUUCCAGGGCGGUCUUGCGCUUGAAGCCUUUCCCACACUCCACGCAGGGGAAGGGCCGGCUGUCGGAGUGAAUGCGCCGGUGACUGAGGAGGAGGGAAGAAUAGGUGAAGCGGCGGCCGCAGUCAGGACAGGGGUAGGGCUUCUCGCCGGUGUGUAUGCGCCUGUGGAUGGCCAGCAGGGAGGUGUAGGCGAAACGGAGGCUGCAAUCGGGGCAGCUGUAGGGCUUCUCGCCCGUGUGCUUGCGCUGGUGGAUGGCCAGCAGGUAGGGGUAAGUGAAGCGACUCUUGCAGUCUGAGCACGCGUAAGGCUUCUCCCCGGUGUGAGCCCGCCUGUGGAUAGCCAGGGAACCCCUCUGGCGGAAGCGGCGCCCGCAGUCGGGGCAGGGGUAGGGCUUCUCGCCGGUGUGGAUGAACUGAUGCUGGAGCAGGUACCUGCGCUGGGAGAAACGCGCCUGACACUGGCCGCAGGAGAAGGGCCGCUCCCCGGAGUGGACCCGCUGGUGGCUGGCCAGGAGGGAAGGGUAGCUGAAGUUGCGGCCACAGUCUGGGCAAGAGUGGGGCAGUCUUCGGGUCAGAGUGUCCUUGAGCCAGGGAUUCAUGGGGCUCUGCCUAGGGUUGCAGAACUCUGGGCAGGUGACGCUGGGCCACCACUCCUUGACAGCCACUUCAUGCGCCACCUCUUUUUGUUUUGGACACUUCUUCAGCCUUUCCUUCUCCUCAUUCCCAUCCCUGGAUCCUGAAACAGGGAAGAUGAUAAAAUCAGAAACUCAUCCCUGGAUCCUGAGACAGGGAAGAUGAUAAAGUCAAAACCAGCAUAUUCCGGGACCAUGUCCUGCCUUGGAAGGCAGCAGGAAUGGUUCAGACUAUGGCGCCCAGGGAGCACGGCUUAAUGAUAGGGGCCUCAUGAAGCCCUGAAAGCCAGCCUGGAGUAAAAGCAAAUGCCAUGGUCUGCAGGUUAACACAGGAAGGCCCUGAGCACUGGAGAUAAUGAAAGAGGAGUAGGGCCGGGUGCCAUGGCUCACACCUGUUAUCCAAGCACUUCAGGAGGCUAAGGUGGGAGGAUCGCUUGAGGCCAGAAAUUCAAGGGACAGUGAGCUGUGAUCGGGCCACUGCACUCCAGCCUGGGCAACUCUCUAAUAAAAAAAAAAAA